rnacentral:rRNA from 1 species
UACAGAGGUCUCAAGCGUUGUUCGGAUUCAUUGGGCGUAAAGGGUGUGUAGGUGGCGCCGUAAGUCGGGUGUGAAAUUUCGGAGCUUAACUCCGAAACUGCAUUCGAUACUGCGGUGCUUGAGGACUGGAGAGGAGACUGGAAAUUCGAUGGUGUAGCAGUGAAAUGCGUAGAGAUCAUGAGGAAGACCAGUGGCGAAGGCGGGUCUCUGGACAGUUCCAUGACACUGGAGAACACG